CGCAUCUGUGCAUGCAGCAUAUCAAUAAGCGGAGGAAAAGGCUGCGGAACUGAACGACCGCUACCUACGCUUAGGAUGUUGACGCGCGUGUGUGCGUGAGUCUAUACAUGACUCUGUGCAUAUCAAUAAGCGGAGGAAAAGAAACUAACAAGGAUUCCCUUAGUAACGGCGAGUGAAGCGGGAAGAGCUCAAAUUUGAAAUCUUCAAGGUUUUACCUUGACGAAUUGUAGUUUAAAGAAGUGUUUUCUGUUGAAGUUUUGGUAAAAGUUCUUUGGAAUAGGACAUCAUAGAGGGUGAGAAUCCCGUAUUUGACCAUUAUUUUCAGCUGUGUGAUACACUUUCAAAGAGUCGGAUUGUUUGGGAAUGCAGUCCAAAAUGGGUGGUAAAUUUCAUCUAAAGCUAAAUAUUGGCGAGAGACCGAUAGCGAACAAGUACCGUGAGGGAAAGAUGAAAAGAACUUUGAAAAGAGAGUUAAACAGUACGUGAAAUUGUCAAAAGGGAAGCGUUUGACACCAGUGUUGUUUUCUCGAAAAUCAAUUAAAAAGAGUUAGAUUUUGUUGUGUAUUGACCUUAACAGCUUGCAUUUCAAUUUUCUUGCUUUUUUUAAUGCACUUUUCGUUUAACAAGUCAACAUCAGUUUCUUUUGUUGUAAAAAGGUCAUUGGAAGGUGGCUUUCUUUUCGGAGAAAGUGUUUAUAGCCUUUGACUCCUGCAAUCGGAGAGACUGAGGUCUGCAGCGUAGAUCCUUUGGGGUUAGAUACAUUUGUGCUAAGCUACAGCUUUUCAUAGACAACUUGUUGACUAUGAUUUAGUCUUGUAGCUUACUCCGCUUGAUGCUAUUUUACCUACGCUUAGGAUGUUGACGCGCGUGUGUGCGUG
rnacentral:rRNA from 1 species